rnacentral:rRNA from 1 species
AUCGGAGGUUGCGGUGCGAGCGGCAGUAGGGUGC